CGGCUCGGAUCCCGCGUUGCUGUGGCUCUGGCGUAGGCCGGUGGCUACAGCUCCAAUUUGACCCCUAGCCUGGGAACCUCCAUAUGCCGCGGGAGCGGCCCAAUAAAUAGCAACAACAACAAAAAGACAAAAGACCAAAAAAAAAAGAAAACAAAACAAGAAAUAAAAAAACAGUGAUGAUGACAAUAGCAAACUUCCUGUGUGUCUAGCAAUUUUCCAAGUAUUUUGUUUAUGUUAAUUACUUAACAUCUCAAUACCUAUGGAUAUAUUCUAUUACACAUAUUUAAAAAUGAAGAAAUGUACAUACCGUGGUUUAGUGACCACUUUAUAGCUCUUACUUGUACCAGUUUGAUAACUGUUUUACUAGAGUUUCUAGUUCUUCCCAGGCCUAAGGAAAAGAAUUCUAUGAUGGAAGCAAAUUAGGCUGAAUAGCUAAUACUUUGUAGAGUUGAAUUACAAUUUUUAUUGAAUCAGAGAAGUGAUCAGAAUGAACAAGUAUAGUGAGUUCAAGCUGGUGGCAAGUCAUUUGGUGCAUUUUUGCAGUAGGAAAGAGAAGCAGUUUCCGAUUCGGUAAUUGCCAAUUUACGUACAAAGAUCUCUUUAAUAAGCACAGUCCCUUGGUUCAGAAAGCUGCAGUCCUGCUGGCCUGGUUCCUUCCCAUCACAGCUGAGGAUGUUCUUCUCAUGUUUCAUUCUACUGGAAUUCCACACUUGCUUUCUUCCCUUCCCCUUAUCCUUUGUUGUUUUAGUGCAGCCAGUAUCAUGCAAAGGUAGAUAUGUUUCUGUCUCUUAAGCUAGAACUGAGAAUGAACUUGAUAUAGGAUAAAUAUCACACAAUUGGCUUUAGAGUUUAUGCCUCCAUCAACACUGUAACUUGAUGUGUCAUGAGGGGGUUAGAUCAGGUUCUAUGCAUAAAACUGCAGCCCCAAGAAUGUCCCUGGUUUGGUGAACAAAAACAUAGAUCUGGGGCCUUAGGAGGCUUCCUCUCAAAUGCUGAUCCUGAUAAUUUGGGUCCAGCAGCUUUGAGUUAGUAAGUUAUUUAAUGUUAACUUUUCUCAGCUAUAACAUGAAAAUAAUAAUUUCCCUUCAGCUUUGUCAUAACAAAAGAGAUAUGUCAUGCAUAUGUCAUAAUUCAAUGACUAGUAACCACUACCAGUCAUACUCUUCUAGAAUUACUUCUUUGAGAAAAUAAAGAGCCGUAUUCAACUUCUCUGAUGCUAUUUAUAAGAAUUAUUUUAUAAAUUGAGAGUUAUUCAGGCAUUAUUGUGAAAUAUUUCUUUUUAUUUAGUUUUUUUGUUUGUUUGUUUAUGGGUUAGAGAAAGAUGAAGCAAAUAUAUUACUCUGGCUUCGGUAACCAGGUUAAAUGUGAUGAUUCAGAGUUUGUGAACAUCCUAUAUAAAACUUUCACAUUUGACAUUACACACACACACACACACACACACACACACACACACACACACACACAAGGCUCACACAAGACUGUCCCCAGUGCUCUCAUUUCUGGCCUGUCUUAAUACAACUUCUCUCUCUUCUUGACCUGAAGUUUUCAUUUUGUAUUACUUCUCCAUAAACCACAGAAGUGAAGAAAAUGGCUCCACAGCAAAUAAACAAACGCUGUUAAAAUAUCUUUUGGCACCUAGGACCUAGAAAGAAAGAGAGAGCCCCAAAAUGGGCUUUUCUAGAGUUUUUCCAUUAACACAUAAACAGGUGUGGAUUUAUCAGAUUAGCUAGUUAUAAGGAGGUGUUGAAAUGUGAAGCAGAAAUAAAAACGGGACUGGGCAUUAAAAAAAAAGCAUUAGCCAUUAGCACCAAAGACAAACUGCCUCCCUCACACUUAUGCCUGAGGUAGUGAGGCUGUGAGCCUGAGUCUGAUGCUUUAGACAUUCAUUAUCCACUGAUUCAAAUGUUCUGCUUAUAACUUUUCAUAUUAUUAAUAUAUGACUCAAUAACAAAAGGUCAUAAGGUAGUUUGGCUAAAAAAUUUGCUCUGAUAAAACAGGGUGUCUAUGUUCUGGUUGAAAUAUUUCACUGGGUAGAUAGAAUUUUGUACAUUAAUUCUGUGACUGUAGGGGGAAAAUGAGAUAUGCAAAAUAAAGUUAUUAUUUAUUUAUACCUCACCUUGUUUCAGAGGAGAUUUAGAAUGGAAACUAAGGUAAUUAUCUUAUUAUACAAGCAAAAUAAGAAACAACUGUAUAAUCCAGGUUUUAAGAAAAGAGGCCAUGUGUAUAUUUGUGCAUAUCAUAUUCUAGAUUUAAACUGUAGCUUUAUAUGGCAUUCACUCAAGUUUAGAGAAACAAAACUGGAUGAACAGGAACUGCUAAUGACAUGGUAAAUUAUCUUCUGCUGUGAUUUGAAGUGGGUCAUCCAUGUGUGAAGUUGAAAGAAGCCAAGUUUAGGGUGAGGAACUUUUAGGGAGGAAGAAAAGUCCAUUCCCUUUUUCUCUUCCUCUUGAUACCACAGAUAUGUCCUCACUUCACAUCUGUGCUCCCUGAUACAGUAGCCACGUGCCACAUGUGCAAGUACUGAACACUCAAAAUAUGACUAAAGUGAGAUGUGCUGCCAGUAUAAAAAUGCACACCAGAUUCCUAGGAGUUAGUAUGAAAGAUUUAAACAAUGUCAUUCAUAUUUUUGCAUUGAUUCCACAUUGAAAUCAUAUAGGUAUUAGAUCGAAUAAAAUUGGUUUAUGAAAAUUAAUUUACUUAUCUUUACCUUUUUCAUCUUGGUUACUAGGAAAUUUAAAAUGCUACAUGUGGCUCUUGGAGUUCCUUGGUGGCUUAGCAGGUUAAGGAUCCAGUGUUGUCACCGCUAUGGCUCUGGUCACUGCUGCGGCACGUGUUCAAUCCCUGGCCCAAGAAUUUUGCAUGCCAUGGGUGUGGCAAAAAGAAAAUAAUAAUAAAAAAAAAGAGAUACAUGUGGCUCUCAUUUGGCACUUGCAAUAUAUUUCCAGAGUAAUGUACUAGUUAUGCAGUUCAAGCAUAGAACCGCAUGAGGGGCUAUAAGUGUGCAAUGAUGUUAAAGAAAAUCAGAACAUCCUUGUCAUGGAUUUGUGGUGGGGGGGAGCUUCCAGCUUGGGAGAGUAAAAAGGCAUUUCUUCACAAUUAUCGUACAGAUCUAAUUAGAUGAGACAGAUUUUCAUCAGCUUCAGCACCCAUGGUUAGUUAUAGCAAGGAAAAUGGCAAGGAAUGAUAUGGAACUCUGCUCCUUUCCUCUUACACAGGGCAUCUCCGUAAAAGUGAAAGAAAAAUUAAGCAAAUAAUUUCACUUCCAGUUUGUACGUCCUUCUUCAGAGAGAGUUUUUUAUGCCUGAAUAUCAUUAUAUGCAUCUAUCAUUGUUGACUUUUCAUUCUGGAUGGGAUUGUCAUUCCACUCGGUCAAUAUCCCUUCAAAGAAGUCGUAGCUGCUGAGAGUAGGAAGUGCUCCUUUGGGCUUGGAACACGACUGUCUUAUUUGGUGGAGAGGUGAGAUAGUUUAUUCCCUGUCCCAAAAGUACUCUCAUUCGGUGGCUUAGACACUUAAAUUCUUUCAGCCUUGUGUGUUCCAAACUGUAAUAGCGGAUAAUUCUAUGACAUACACCGGUGCACUUUUUUGUACCUGUUUGUGAUACACCUCUGCCUUGUUCAAUAAAAGGGUAACACAAAUCUGCCCACCCACCUAUCUUCUCCUUGUCUUACAUCUUAAAACCGAAAAAGCAGUGGGAAUUGAAUUCACUCAAAGGUUUUAUGGUUGAGGGAAAGUCUUUUAUUCACCACCCCACCCCCUGUCGCCAUUCUUUAAAUUGGGUCUAAACUGGUUACUAUGGCAACACAAACCCUAGAAACAUGUCUUUUUUUUUUUUAAUACAUCCUACUUUGAGAAGCCUAUAUGAACAAUAUUUCCAUAUGGUACUAGGGUCUGAUUAAUUUUAACUUAAGGCUGAUGCUAGUUAGAAAAAAUCCAUCAAAAUAAAAUUACAAAAUACAUAUAUAAACCUAAACCUUUAGGAAACAAGCUGCUAGGUACAGUAAGGAACAAGAAAGGAAUAGUUAUAUUCAAGAGAGACCUGUAGUUCUGUCAAUCUACAAGUGGCAGUGGGAAAUUUCCUUGGAAAAGAGAAAAAUCUCUGAGAGAUUUAAAGAUCCUAUUGAAAUUCACACCGCGAAUUGCUAUUCCCCACAAAGGCCCCUUAAGCUGAGACAGUGAAUGAACACAAGUCUCCCUCCCCCGUGCCAAGGCUGACAGCCUGGGCACCACUCUUCAUAUUCUGGCAGCCUCUGCUGUCAGCUACAGAGCCCAUGGGAUCCUUGGAGGCCUGGGGGAGAGGCAGGCGGAAGGUUUUCUCAGGGCCUUGUGAACUUCUGGCUGGACUACAAGCAAAGAUGUUCGUUCAAUCAGAUUCCCUCUGUGCUUGGAAAAAAAAAAAAAAAAAAAAAAAAAAAAAAGCUGAUUUCAAAUUCACUUUAGGAUUUACAAUCUAUGAUGUCUUCCAGUUGAGUUCUUUGCACACCUCAAACUUCCUUCUUUUAAUCACCUUCCACUAAGCACUCAAGAACCACUGGUGGAUUGACCAGCAAGAUUACCCUGUAAGGCUAAGGCCACCUGAGAGCAGCUUGCUUUUAUUGCUUUCCUCAUCAACUCUUUCUAUUUUCAGCUCUCAUCUGAUUCCCUUCACACACACACUCUUUGACGUCUCAUCUCUCCUUGGCCUUGACAUAUGCCUCUAUUCUUCUUAUUUCAUUGUUUAAAAUGUAUGUGAAAGCACUAGAUUGGGUGCCUAGAGAUCUGAGUUCUAUUCCUGGAUUUUCUACAUUCUUUCUCCCUAACCUUGAAAGGGAGAGCUUUGUUCUUCUUUCCCUCAGACUGGAUUGGGUAAAGAUUAAUGUGAUAUAAUUGAUCAUAGCUGGGCUGGAAUGACAAUAGAAUUCAGCAGUACUGGAUCUCUGCAAAGAGCCCUCAGCCCAGGAUUAGGAGAUCUGGCUACUCUCUAGUCUCACAACCUAAAUACAGAUGUG
rnacentral:lncRNA from 1 species